rfam:Exiguobacterium sp. AT1b, complete genome.
GAUCAAGGUAGAAAGGGCGUACGGUGGAUGCCUUGGCACUAGGAGCCGAUGAAGGACGCGACGAACAGCGAAAUGCUCUGGGGAGUGGUAAGUACACAUUGAUCCAGAGAUCUCCGAAUGGGGGAACCCACCGCCGGGAGACCGGCGGGACACCCACGUGAAUACAUAGCGUGGCGUGAGGCAUACCCGGGGAACUGAAACAUCUAAGUACCCGGAGGAAGAGAAAGAAAAUUCGAUUCCCUGAGUAGCGGCGAGCGAAACGGGAACAGCCCAAACCAGGAAGCAUGCUUCCUGGGGUUGUAGGACACUCUACACGGAGUUACAAAGGGAUAGGGUAGGUGAACGACCUGGAAAGGUCGGCCAGAGAAGGUGACGGCCCUGUAGCCGAAACCCCAUCCCCUCCAGAGUGGAUCCUGAGUACGGCGGGACACGUGAAACCCCGUCGGAAUCCGGGAGGACCAUCUCCCAAGGCUAAAUACUUCCUAGUGACCGAUAGUGAACCAGUACCGUGAGGGAAAGGUGAAAAGCACCCCGGAAGGGGAGUGAAAGAGAUCCUGAAACCGUAUGCCUACAAGUAGUCAGAGCCCGUUCACGGGUGAUGGCGUGCCUUUUGUAGAAUGAACCGGCGAGUUACGAUGGCGGGCGAGGUUAAGCCGAUGAGGCGGAGCCGCAGCGAAAGCGAGUCUGAACAGGGCGCAUCAGUCCGUCGUCGUAGACCCGAAACCAGGUGAUCUACCCAUGUCCAGGAUGAAGGUCAGGUAACACUGACUGGAGGUCCGAACCCACGCACGUUGAAAAGUGCGGGGAUGAGGUGUGGGUAGCGGUGAAAUGCCAAUCGAACCUGGAGAUAGCUGGUUCUCUCCGAAAUAGCUUUAGGGCUAGCCUCGAGGUGAAGAGUUCUGGAGGUAGAGCACUGAUUGGACUAGGGGCCCCCACAGGGUUACCGAAUUCAGUCAAACUCCGAAUGCCAGCAACUUGUACUCGGGAGUCAGACUGCGAGUGAUAAGAUCCGUAGUCGAGAGGGAAACAGCCCAGACCAUCAGCUAAGGUCCCCAAGUGUAUGUUAAGUGGAAAAGGAUGUGGCGCUGCACAGACAACUAGGAUGUUGGCUUAGAAGCAGCCACCAUUCAAAGAGUGCGUAAUAGCUCACUAGUCGAGUGGCGCCGCGCCGAAAAUGUAACGGGGCUAAACAUACCACCGAAGCUAUGGAUCCCGUAAGGGAUGGUAGGAGAGCGUUCCAAGCAGCAGUGAAGCGGUAUCGUGAGGAGCCGUGGAGCGCUUGGAAGUGAGAAUGCCGGUGUGAGUAGCGAAAAGAGGGGUGAGAAUCCCCUCCGUCGAAAGCCUAAGGUUUCCUGAGGAAGGCUCGUCCGCUCAGGGUUAGUCUGGACCUAAGCCGAGGCCGAAAGGCGUAGGCGAUGGACAACAGGUCGAUAUUCCUGUACCGCCGUACCACCGUUUGAACGAUGGGGGGACGCAGAAGGAUAAGGUGACCGUGCGACUGGAAGUGCACGGACAAGCAGCGAGGCCGUCGGGUUGGCAAAUCCGCCCGGCAUACAAGGUUGAGCUGUGACGUGGAGCCCGUAGGGCGAAGCACCGGAUUUCACGCUGCCAAGAAAAGCCUCUAGUGAGGAGGUCGGCGCCAGUACCGCAAACCGACACAGGUAGGCGAGAUGAGAAUUCUAAGACGCGCGGGAUAACUCUCGUUAAGGAACUCGGCAAAAUGGUCCCGUAACUUCGGGAGAAGGGACGCUUAUGGCGACAUAAGCCGCAGUGAAUAGGCCCAAACGACUGUUUAGCAAAAACACAGGUCUCUGCUAAAUCGCAAGAUGAAGUAUAGGGGCUGACGCCUGCCCGGUGCUGGAAGGUUAAGGGGAUGUGUCAUCGCAAGAGAAGCACUGAACCGAAGCCCCAGUAAACGGCGGCCGUAACUAUAACGGUCCUAAGGUAGCGAAAUUCCUUGUCGGGUAAGUUCCGACCCGCACGAAAGGCGUAACGAUUUGGGCACUGUCUCAACGAGAGACCCGGUGAAAUCAUAGUACCUGUGAAGAUGCAGGUUACCCGCGACAGGACGGAAAGACCCCAUGGAGCUUUACUACAGCCUGAUAUUGAGGCUUUGUACGCGAUGUACAGGAUAGGUGGGAGUUUGUGAAGCCGGAGCGCCAGCUUCGGUGGAGACACCCUUGGGAUACCACCCUUUGCGUAUAGAGUCUCUAACUCGCAGCCGUGAUCCGGCUGGAGGACCGUGUCAGGCGGGUAGUUUGACUGGGGCGGUCGCCUCCUAAACAGUAACGGAGGCGCCCAAAGGUUCCCUCAGAAUGGUUGGAAAUCAUUCGAAGAGUGCAAAGGCAGAAGGGAGCUUGACUGCGAGACCUACAAGUCGAGCAGGGACGAAAGUCGGGCUUAGUGAUCCGGUGGUUCCGCAUGGAAGGGCCAUCGCUCAACGGAUAAAAGCUACCCUGGGGAUAACAGGCUGAUCUCCCCCAAGAGUCCACAUCGACGGGGAGGUUUGGCACCUCGAUGUCGGCUCAUCGCAUCCUGGGGCUGGAGUAGGUCCCAAGGGUUGGGCUGUUCGCCCAUUAAAGCGGUACGCGAGCUGGGUUCAGAACGUCGUGAGACAGUUCGGUCCCUAUCCGUCGUGGGCGUAGGAAAUUUGAGGAGAGCUGUCCUUAGUACGAGAGGACCGGGAUGGACGCACCGCUGGUGUACCAGUUGUUCCGCCAGGAGCACCGCUGGGUAGCUACGUGCGGACGGGAUAAGUGCUGAAAGCAUCUAAGCAUGAAGCCCCCUCCGAGAUGAGAUUUCCCUUUGAGCAAUCAAGAAAGACCCCUCAGAGACGAUGAGGUAGAUAGGUCAUGGGUGGAAGCGUGGUGACACGUGGAGCUGAAUGAUACUAAUCGGUCGAGGCUUUGAUCUA